rnacentral:rRNA from 1 species
GACGAACGCUGGCGGCGUGCUUAAUACAUGCAAGUCGAACGGAAAGACCCGGCGUUUGUGGGUUUCUCGAUUGGCGAAGGGGUGAGUAACACGUGAGUAACCUGCCCUUGACUGUGUGAUAACUUCAGGAAACUGCGGCGAAUACCGCAUAUGAUCUCCUGCUGCAUGGUGGUGGUUGGAAAGAUUCGGCGGUUGUGGAUUGACUGGCUGGUUAUCAGCUUGUUUGGGGGGUAGGGGCUGACCAAGGCUUUGACGGGUAGCCGGCCUGGGAGGGUGACCGGCCACAUUGGGACUGAGAUACGCACCAGACUCGUACGGGCGGCAGCAGUGGGGAAUCUUGCACAAUGGGGGGACGCCUGAUGCAGCAGCGCCGCGUGCGGGAAGACGGCCUUUGGGUUGUAAACAGCUUUCGAAUGUGACGAAGAGUGCGUGACGGUAAUGGGUAAAGAAGCCACGGCUAACUACGUG